rnacentral:rRNA from 1 species
GACGAACGCUGGCGGCGUGCUUAACACAUGCAAGUCGAACGGAAAGGCCUUUUCGGAGGUACUCGAGUGGCGAACGGGUGAGUAACACGUGGGUGAUCUGCCCUGCACUCUGGGAUAAGCCUGGGAAACUGGGUCUAAUACCGGAUAGGACCGCACUUUAGUGUGUGUGGUGGAAAGUUUUUUCGGUGUAGGAUGAGCCCGCGGCCUAUCAGCUUGUUGGUGGGGUAAUGGCCUACCAAGGCGGCGACGGGUAGCCGGACUGAGAGGUUGGUCGGCCACAUUGGGACUGAGAUACGGCCCAGACUCCUACGGGAGGCAGCAGUGGGGAAUAUUGCACAAUGGGCGCAAGACUGAUGCAGCGACGCCGCGUGGGGGAUGACGGCCUUCGGGUUGUAAACUCCUUUCGCCAGGGACGAAGCGUUUUGUGACGGUACCUGGAGAAGAAGCACCGGCUAACUACGUG